GCCCGGUUAGCUCAGUCGGUAGAGCGUUCGGCUUUUAAAACAAAAGUUUGACCGAAAUGUCGGGGGUUCGAGCCCCCCAUUGGGCG
rnacentral:tRNA from 1 species